AACGAACGCUGGCGGCGUGCCUAACACAUGCAAGUCGAGCGAGAAAGCCCGCAAGGGUGAGUAAAGCGGCGCACGGGUGAGUAACACGUGGGUAAUCUACCUCGGAGCCUGGAAUAACCUGCCGAAAGGCGGGCUAAUACCGGAUAAGCUCACAGGGGCUUCGGCCCCAGGGAGAAAAGGCAGCCUCUGCAUGCAAGCGGUCACUCCGAGAUGAGCCCGCGGCCUAUCAGCUUGUUGGCGGGGUAAUGGCCCACCAAGGCGAUGACGGGUAGCUGGUCUGAGAGGAUGGCCAGCCACACUGGAACUGAGACACGGUCCAGACUCCUACGGGAGCAGCAUG
rnacentral:rRNA from 1 species